GAUGAACGCUGGCGGCGUGCCUAAUACAUGCAAGUCGAGCGAACGGACGAGAAGCUUGCUUCUCUGAUGUUAGCGGCGGACGGGUGAGUAACACGUGGAUAACCUACCUAUAAGACUGGGAUAACUUCGGGAAACCGGAGCUAAUACCGGAUAAUAUUUUGAACCGCAUGGUUCAAAAGUGAAAGACGGUCUUGCUGUCACUUAUAGAUGGAUCCGCGCUGCAUUAGCUAGUUGGUAAGGUAACGGCUUACCAAGGCAACGAUGCAUAGCCGACCUGAGAGGGUGAUCGGCCACACUGGAACUGAGACACGGUCAAGACUCCUACGGGACGCAGCAGUAGGGAAUCUUACGCAAUGGGCGAAAACAUGACGGAGCAACGCCGCGUGAGUGAUGAAGGUCUUCGGAGCGUAAAACUCUGUUAUUAGGGAAGAACAUAUGUGUACGUAACUGUGCACAUCUUGACGGUACCUAAUCAGAAAGCCACGGCUAACUACGUG
rnacentral:rRNA from 1 species